rnacentral:rRNA from 1 species
UACGUAGGGUGCGAGCGUUGUCCGGAGUUAUUGGGCGUAAAGAGCUCGUAGGCGGUGUGUCGCGUCGGCCGUGAAAACCUGCAGCUUAACUGUGGGCUUGCGGUCGAUACGGGCAUCACUGGAGUUCGGUAGGGGAGACUGGAAUUCCUGGUGUAGCGGUGAAAUGCGCAGAUAUCAGGAGGAACACCGGUGGCGAAGGCGGGUCUCUGGGCCGAUACUGACGCUGAGGAGCGAAAGCGUGGGGAGCGAACAGG